rfam:Clostridiales bacterium S5-A11 contig008, whole genome shotgun sequence.
GGAGAGGUGUCCGAGCUGGCCGAAGGAGCCUGACUCGAAAUCAGGUAGGCGGCAACCCCGUCUCGUGGGUUCAAAUCCCACCCUCUCCG